rnacentral:other from 1 species
GUUUCAGACGAACUCUCGUCAGGUUGAAGC